rnacentral:rRNA from 1 species
UACGUAGGGGGCGAGCGUUGUCCGGAAUUAUUGGGCGUAAAGAGCGUGUAGGCGGUUCGGUAAGUCUGCCGUGAAAACCUGGGGCUCAACCCUGGGCGUGCGGUGGAUACUGCCGGGCUAGAGGGUGGUAGAGGCGAGUGGAAUUCCCGGUGUAGCGGUGAAAUGCGCAGAUAUCAGGAAGAACACCCGUGGCGAAAGCGGCUCUCUGGAACGGUACUGACGCUGAGACGCGAAAGCGUGGGGAGCGAACAGG